GAGCCUAUGGCGCAACGGUAGCGCGUCGGAUUCCAGACCCGAAGGUUGGGGGUUCGAAUCCCUCUAGCUUCA
rnacentral:tRNA from 1 species